CCCAGCUUUUAACUUGGCUUAAAAUAAGUUAUUUUGAGUAUUGCCAAACAGCUAAAUAAGUCAAAAAUCAGCUUUUAAGUCAGUUUGACUAGCUUUUAAGUUGAGCCAAACAGACUCUAAAUUAGUUUUCUUCAAUAUUUUUGGUUCAUGUAGGUUUUUCCUAUCGCUCUCAUAAGUUCCGCCGCGAGAAUUACAAUGUUACUUCAAGGAGAAGUGAUAGAAUUGAAAACUUGACGGAAAAAAUUUACCCAAGUCUCCAUUUUCUCAUAUGAGUUACUCAUUUGAGUUGAAGAUGGGGCACCUGGUCCACUCGUCUAAUGUGAGAGCUACUAGAUUGGAGGCUUCUCUGCCAUGGAUGAUUGAGGUUGUAAUUCUUACUGCACUUACCCCCCUCCGAGCUUCUAUUGAUGAUUUGGUUGCUAGAGUUACAACUUAUGAGAGAAGACAGGGGGAGUCUUCUGAGAUGACGACUUUUAAAGUUUAAGUUAUUCAUAUGAGAUAGGACGUGGACUAUUUAAAGUUAUUAACUUCACUUCCGUAUUGGAGGCUUCUGAUGAUGUUGAUGCCCCAGAGGCUUCUGUGAUUUCUCAAGGUACCACCGGAGACAUACAUAGGGAUGGAACGAUAGAGACCAAUGAAGAUCAGAUUGAGGUGAGAGAGGAUAGCAUUUACGGAGACCUUCCUGAUCGAGGAGACUGUUGUACAGUCCUUGAUCCAAACAUCGCUGACCGAGAUGUCCAUAGAAGCUCCUAGUGGAUCCGGUACUCCUAAUAAUGCACCGAGCACUGACGCUCAGACAAAUUGAGCGACUGAGUAAAUAAGAUCUAUCUUUAUCUCCCUUUCUGUCUUAUUUUUCUUGACUUCUAGAUAUUAUUUUUGUUUGCAUUUGAGGACAAACUAUUUUUAUAUAUGGUAGGGUGAGGCCCACCUUGUUUGACUAUUCUAAUGAAUAUAAACGGUUUUUGAGAUA